UCUGUCAUUAAUUCCAGCCCUCGCUAUUCUGAAGUACAGUGAAGGAUGGCGGAGAAAUCAUUGCCCUCUUCAGCUCUGUUAUUGCACAAAAUAGCAGCGCAAUAAUUUUUUGUCAAUGUUUUACUCUAAAAGCUUUCUACGUCAGUUUUGAAAAGGAAGCAAUAAAGCCCAUUCAAUGGUAUGAAUAAAAAUCCUUUGAGGGUUAGGGCAGGGCUUCUUUUCUUCAGCUGGUAAUCAAAUUGGAGCUAAAAUGAAAUUGAGUUUUCUUAUGAAAAUAGCCUUUGUUGCUGGGAAGGCUGGUAAUUCAUAAACAAUAACCCGCUCUUUUGUGUGGGUAAUAAUAUAUUCAUGUUCUUUCAAUAGGGUAAAAGCCAGACCUAGUGCAUUAUGGUACAGUAAAAAUAGCUGAAGGGGCUGGCUGGAAUGAUCUUGAAGAAGAAACGUGGCGUUCGGUGACUUUGGCUUUCAGCAUCCCUCUGAAAUGGGACUUUGCCUGGAUCUGUGCUCUGGUUUUCGUUGUUGAUUUGUCGCUGCCCUACGAUAUUUGGUUAAUUGCGGAUGGUCUCAAGCUGUGCUCGUCACUGCCACGGCCGCCGCGGCUGCCGGAGCCCCAGCCUGCUGCCACAGGACGUUGUCAUUCACAGGAGCAGGCUCUCGGCGCCCACGAGGACAGGAGCGUCCCGGAGCCCUGGACCCGACAGGCAGCUGCACGCGGGGCACAGGAGGGGAGAAAAUCACGGAAUGGAAUUGCUGAUUCAGGAGGAAGUAAACAUUCACAAGGCACCUGGGAUACAUUGGAAAUCUACACUGCAGAAAUUUCCCGUAAAUGGACAUCCCGUCUGUAAGGCCCUGCCCGCCACCGCUAUGCUGCCUGCCCGCCUGCCGCAUCCAGCACAGUGGACCCAACUGGUCUGCAGCCCAGCCGCCCCUCAGCCUAACUCGAAGCUGGUCUUGAAGGCACGAGGAGGUGGGCACCACCUUUGUCAAGAAAUGUCAUCGAGAAACCAGGGCAUUCCCCCCGGGACUCCCUCGGGUCCAUCAGCGCGCACGUGAUGCAGGUGCCGUGCGCCAGCAUCCUGGGGCGUCUGUGCCCGACCCGAGGUCCCGAUCCUUGUGGUCUGUUCCCGCUGUUCCCAGGCCUUCGCACCCACUACCAGCUUUGGGAUGAGGUCGCUUCUGUCUGCAUGGGCCCCAGGAGCCCUGCUUUCUUUCAUUGUGCACGCUGAGGUCACAUACUGAGUCGCAUGUCCACGAAGGCCUUUUGUCACACAGGGCUCCACUGCACACGUCCCUAAGACACACCUGCAAGGUCGGGCUAGUGGGCCACACUCUGCCUUCCAUUUCUGGAGCUUUUUCCUUGUUUAUUUAGGGACGCAGAAACAAAACAGGCUGAUCAGACACCACCAUGAAAGGCAUUAGUAGGUUAAAAGCAAAAGCAGGUGAAAAGCUCAUCCAUGCACUGUCUUCAGUGGAGACAACACAGUCCCACCUCAUGCAGGGACUCUCCUGCACCCCCUGGGGGACCCCAAAGCACCCCAUAGACACAAGCUUCCCCAGACACCCAGGAUCCUUCCUAAGGCACCUUCAAACUGUGGCCAUCGUUUCCAUGAAGGACGGUACAAAGGAGAAUAGACCGUUGGGUUUGCGGAAGCCAGCCUGGCCUCCUCCAGGACGGGAUGUGGAUCUGAAGUCAUCCCUACUAAAUGACAAGCCUAUCGAUAGCCGGGUUGCUAUAACCAGGUGACCCAGGUCACUAGAUGCACUGGUUGUAAGGAAAGCGGUCUGUCCCCUGUGCGGUUUCCAGUCUGCAGAACAGCAGCGCCGUGAAGGACACGGGAGCAGAGGCCGAGGAAGACGUGCUUCCCCAUGAUGCUGUUAGAGCAAGAGAAGUCCCGAGGGGACCGUGAACGCGGGCCGUGUAGUGUCCACCUGCCAGCAACACACGUGCAGUGACAUUGGGGGCGGGACCUUGCCGUGGACACUGUGGCAUUUCCAGGCCUGGACUGUCCACAGAGAACGACCAGGACAGAGUCAAAAACACACCGAGUAGGAAGUAGCUGCAGAUCAAGGACCCGUUUGCACAAAAUGCAGAGCUGUUCAAAGAAACAAGUGUCAUCGAGACACGUUGGCCGUUACUUGGCAUGAAAGUUCCAAGGCAGCUGCUCAGUGUGAGGGUGUGAUGAAAGGGACGCUCUGAGCUGUGCCUGCUCCUCAGAGCCCAUUCUGGAACGGACACCAGUCAGCGGGACUCAUCUUUUAAGCACCGCCUCCUGUCUCCCACCAACUCUGCACGCGGCCCGCGGUGCCUGAGGGAGGCGUUCUUUACCGCGUUUUGUGCUUCUUUCUUCUCCCGGUUAACCAGGCCUAUUUCUCCGGGAGUGAGGUGUGAGAACAGGUGCGCUCCCUGGAGAAGGCCGGGUCCUUCCUGUCAUUGGUUCUUGGACAAUUUCAUCCUUUAGGACCCCUCCUCUCUCCUGCUAAAAUCCAGAAGAAGUAGAGAAAAGUGUCCUUAGCCCAAUGACUAACGCACCUGCACCUUUCUGGCUUCCUUAUCAACCUCUCAACCCCAGGAACAGUGAACCCUGGAUCAACAUAUCAGUCGAGGUCGACUUGGAUUUGGAUUACAAAUUGCAAUCAUCUGAGAGGCGAGCCGCUGGCAUGGGCACCUGACUGUUCUCUGCAGCUGAGGAUUAACGGACACACCGCCUGAGCACCUUCUCCGUCCGACACCUCUGCGCAUGCCGCCCACAGAUGAGAAAUCCGGCUCGGAGACAUGUUGAAGGGCCGAAAUGCCUUCGCUAAAGAUAGACACACGAAGCCAUCCUCUGCAUGACUUGAAGAUUCGGUGGCAACAAGGGACAGUGACCCCAGGCCUGCAAGGAAGGCUUCCAGAACCACAGCUACCCACACCUGCCGGAGGCCGGAGGCCGCGUCUGCUCAGGCAGGUUCCCCGCAUCAACAGUGUAGAAGAAACAAGCACAUCUCAGAUGUCAGGGAAGUUCUGCUUUCCCUCAACCCUCCUCCUUUCCAAAG